rnacentral:lncRNA from 1 species
UUCUCCAUUAUACUAAGCUGCCCUAUGCCAGGAGACAGAGCUUUGUUAAAGAAAGGAUGUAAGAGCCCAUAAUGGGUUGUUUUUAUUCAAUUGGAGCUCUCAUACACACCACAUUUUGUUUUUAAGCACAGGAAAUAAGGAAUCUUUAAGCCAUAUGACAUGAAAUAUAAGCCACUAAUCAAAAGUUUCUGAAUUUGAUAUUUAGGAACUGCUAUCUCUACUACUUACAUGUUCAUUUUUUCUAUUUAUCUAAUCCAUUUUAUUCAGACACUUAAAUCAGCAGAGCACCAGAAUUAUUUUCCAUCAGAUUUUGUUUCUGUAGAGAUUUGAUUAUCUGCUUCUCUCAGCACAGAAAAAUCUCUAUAAACCAGCACUUGCAUAACAUUACUGGAGACUGACAAUUUCUAAUGAUUUUUCCACACUAGGAGAUCCUCAAGCACCAUCUCAGAGAUACAAUUUCAUGUUGUAUAUUUUCAACAUAAGGAGUACACUGCAUUUCUAAUGGUAUUAGUCUUUGAUGUUUGGCAUAUAGGGAAAGAUCAGUUACUAUUUAAUUAACCCUGAAUAUUACUCCCUAAUCCUAUAGAGUAAUAACAAAUUUGUUCCAUCCUAAAUGAAAAAAACAUUUCCAGACAGUUACAAUUUAGCAGAGAAGUGAGAGGCAUAGAAAUAUGGGAAGAGACUCAAGAUUUGAAAGCUUUUUAAACAACAAUUUCUAGUCAAGUAAGUGAAGAAACCCCUACCCCAAUAGUCUCUUCAUUCAUAUUCAUUCUGCCCUGUAAACCACCCUGGAAUUUAAGUUUUCAAACAGUUCCCAACAUUGCCUUAAUAGGAUAUAUUCCUAUAUGUGCUCAAGGAACCCCCUUUUACUUAAACUUUCUUUUUCCCCCUAAGUCAAAAUGUAGGACAGCAUAUUCAACAGACAAGUUUGUGCUUUGUAGAGAAAGUAACUAGAGGAGUUCCCUGGUGGCUCAGUGGGUUAAGAAUCCAGCAUUGUCACUGCUGUGGUAGGAGUUUGAUCUUUAGCCUUGGAACUUCCACAUGCUGUGCAAGAAAAACAAACAAACAAGAAAGUAACUAGUACAUUGGUCUUCUGUCUGUUUCUGUUAUAUUACUACCAUUUAACGCUUGUAAUCUGUGGAUGACAUGCUAUCUAUUAACAAGAAUCCCAUAACCAGAGUUCUCUUGUGGCCCAGCAGGUUAAGAAUCCAGUGUUCUCACUGCAGCAGCUGGGGUCACUGCUCUUGCAUGGGCUCAAUUGCUGGCCUGAGCACUUCCAUAUGCUGCUUGUGUGGCCAAAAAAAAAAAGCAUUCUGUAAGUAGAAUAGGGAAAUGUAGGAUGCCCCAAAUCAAGGCUCUGACUUGAGAAACAAGGGCUCCAAAUCUCAAUAAAGAAGGCAUUUUAGACUCUUGCUAACAACUAACUCAGGCCUCAGGCAAUGGAGAACCUCAAUCAACUCGUACCCAGAACUUCUUUCUCUAAUUCAUUCCCUCAGGAAUUUGAUCUAUGUGAGAGAAUGGACCAAAAUACACUCUCUAGUGCAAUAAUGAAUAAUGCUGAUGUAACUUCCACUAAGGAAUGAUUUUUCUUUAACUGACGAGUCAAGGAUUCAGUGGCAUUAUAAACUUUCAACCAAACAAGUUUGACAAAUGCUAUAAACCAUUCUACAAAAGAUAGCCAUGUGGGUAUAUGUAUAAUUGAAUCACUGUGUUGUACAGCACAAAUUACCACAAUAUUAUAUAUCAACUAUACUUCAAAAAAACUUUAAAAAAUGAAAAUGAAAAAAAAAAAAAAACACCACACACAAAAAACACAAAAAACAGCCAUAAUACAGAAAGUGCUGCAAACAAAGCUGAUGAGAGAUGAUGGUACUCAUGGUAGUUAAAAGCUCACAGAUUCUGAGUUCACAAAGACUAGUUUUGUUCUUCACCAUUUACCAGUUGUAUGACCUUGAGAAAGCAUUUAAACUCUAUAAGCCUUGGAGUUCCCAUCAUGACUCAGGGUAAAAGAAUCCAACUAGUAUCCAUGAGGAUGCAGGAUCAAUCCCUGGCCUCACUCAGUGGGUUAAGGACCCAGUGUUGCUGUGAGCUGUGGUGUAGGUUGCAGAUAUGGCUCAGAUCCUGUGUUGCUGUGGCUGUGGUAUAGGCCAGCAGCUAGACUCUGAUUUGACCCCUAGCCUGGGAACUUCCAUAUGCGAUGGGUGUAGCCAUAAACAGCAAACAAACAAACUCUAUAAGCCUUAGUUUCAUGUUUAUCAAAGUAAAACUGGGAUAAAUCUACAAUUAGCAUAGUGCCAAGGGGUGUUGUAGAAGGGUUUUAGCUGAAACUCCAGACAUAACCCCUACAUAUAACUCCUAAUCUCUGAAAUUGACAUAAAUACCUUCCUAGUCUUAUGUACAGUGUGAAAGUAUUUUUAAGGAAAUUUAUAUUGAUCCAAGACAUAUGCACCAAGUGUGUAGAAUAUGCUUAAAAUGGAUAUUCAGGAGUUCCCAUCGUUGCUCAGUGAAAACGAAUGUGACUAGCAUCCACGAGGACGCAGGUUUGAUCCCCAGCCUAUGGGGGAGUAUGGAUCCGAUGUUGCCAUGAGCUGUGGUGUAGGUCACAGAUGCAGCUUGGAUCCCGCAUUGUUGUGGCUGUGGUGUAGGCCAGUGGCUUAGCUCCAAUUCAAUCCCUGGUCUGGGAACCUCCAUAUGCCACAGGUGAGGCCCCAAAAAGAAAAUUAAAAAAUUCAAUUCAGCUUUAAGACAAGUCUACUUUAGUCAACUCUAACACCAGAUUGCCAUCACUGAUUCUCAGUACAGAGAACAUCUGUAACUGCCACUGACUAACCCAUUUUGAAAAUUAGCAUGGGAUACUGCACAUACGACACUUAAUAUGAUGGUGUAUAUAUAGCAAAUAUUCAAUAAACAUUAGUUGUUAUUAUUAAUAAUGUAUUCUUUUGUAUAUAUUUAAGUAUAUUUUUCUUAGAUUGAAAAUUACUUUGAAACCAAGGAAAGAAAAAACAACCUUGUGGGGUCCCAUUUGAAAAUGCCCUUAAAUGGGAAAAUUUGUUAGCUUGAGGAAAUUUGUGAAGCUACAAAACCAAGGAAGCUGAUUUUUAACUCCCCGUUAUGUAUAUAUGUUGGGACAACAUUUAUACAAAUGUCAUGGCUAUACAUGCACAAAUACAUCAACUAACUGAACUGAUUUGCAAGGCCUUAUCUGCUGGGAGCUAUUUAUAUGUAUUUGCCUUUAGUGUCUAACUUCACUGAAUUUCCAGUAAAGCUACAUAGAUUUCUUGAUAUUUUUGAAUCACAGAAUACAAGUGAUACACACAUGAAACCAAGGAAAGAGAGCUGGCUUCACUGCAGUUCAAAUGCCAUAUUAAAAAUACUAAAAAUACCAAAUAAUAAAAUAUUAAAAAUAUGUACACACACAGACAUACACCUAAAUUCAAUUUUAACUAGAAGCCUAAAGGUGGAAUCAGUUCCUGAAAAUUCCAGUCAUUGGUGAUUAGCAUGUUGAGAGGCAGAGUCUGCUUUGAUUUUUUUCUUUUUUCUCUCUAAAGUAGUUUCUCCCUCAAAAUAUGUCAGAUGGCUUCCUGUAAUAAUAAGGGCAAGGUGAUUCAGAAUGUGCAGUUGUACUUGCUAAUACCACUGCGGUUUAUGGAGCAUAGAACUACUCAGACCUCCUAACCUCGCCAACUGGGCUCAGUGAUAGGACUAACAAGGUUGUUCGGUGACACAGCAAGUAAAAAUUAAAAUCAGAGGAGCAAUCACGUUUGAUACAGGGAGUCACUAAAGGGGGCCAGAAGAGAAGCAAUAAGACGUUGCCAGGCUGGAAACACCUGCUGAAUUCAGAGUAUGUCGCAACCUCAAAAAAGCCUGGUAAGGGAAGGCCGUAAAAGAGAAUUACAAAAAUCAAUUCUGGAGGUAACCAAAUCAGGAGUGAAAAUUUCAGCAGCUGCCUGGUUAGAACAGAUAGAUACAAAAAAGUUCAUUUAGGGAUGGGGAGGGGAGGAGAAAAACUGACAAACCACAAUGCUUGCCUUCUCCUUCCAGUAGUUUGUUCAAGUGUGUUUACUUUCCAUACUAGUUUUCUUGUAUUUUCAAGUUAUAGGAUUAACUGGCUAUUUUAAGGGAUGGGUGAAUGCUAGCGUAUCAUUCUCUGACACCUCAUUCUUGAUCAAGUCCGAUGUUCUCAUCCAUGGCCUCCUGCUCUAUGUGCAUCUCUACAUUGAGGGUGGUUCGAGUUAAAUCAGCUCCUCUGCUUUGGUGCUUUCAUAGGUACACAGUAGCGCUUCUCAGAUGCCGUCUUUCAUGUCUGCAGGCUGAUGAUUCUCUCUUUUGCACCUUUCCAGGGGAACAGCUGGGGUGCAGUCAGUAACCAGAUGUAUCACGUUGCUAACAGCUUCCAUGCUGAAGUUGAUCACAAUCAUGACUCAUGGGCCCUAAAUCAGGACAGAAAUGCCUUGGCAUUUUUAUGAACUUUUUGUUAAGGUUCUCUGGUUCAAACAUAAGGUGCUCCUUGCCAAGGACCUUUGAAAGCUCCUAAAGCUUCUUUUGAAGUGUUGAUGCUGAACUUAGUAGGGGCAUUACAAAUUCAGAAGAGGCAUUGUCCCUUUCUUUGCAACCCACUGUCAUGGUCCUUAUUAAACUUACUACAAAGGGAGUUCCUGCUGUGGUGCAAUGGGAUCAGCAGUGUCUUGUGAGCAUUGGGUCGGAGGUUUGAUCCCUGGCCUGGCACAGUGAGUUAAGGAGUUAAGGAUCCAGCGUUGUCACAGCUGCGGCUUAGGGUGUGACUGUAGCUCAGAUCUGAUCCCUGGCCCAGGAACUCUAUAUGCCACAGGGUGGCCAAAAAGGAAAAAAAACAGAACAAAACAAAAAACUUAUAACGAAGGAUUGGCCUUGCUACGAUGUACACAAUAGUCUCUGAAAUCUUGGUAAGAAAGAGUAUUAGUAGAGCAGUAGUAACUUCUGAAGAAUGUCGUCUGCUUUGUAAAUGCCUUGGAAAUGACAGUGGCUGCCAAAGCAUUUACAAACUAAGUUUGGGGGUGUCCUGGUCUUUCAUCCCUUUCGCUCUACAAAGCCCAAGACAUUUUUUUCAGUGAUUUCCCUAAGUAAUAAAUUUCUAAGUUAAUAUCAGCCAUGUGUGGAAGUCAGAUAACCUCAAAGAAGAAGACAUGAUCAGGAAUGUUUUCACUUAAUAUUUAACUGAGUUAUAUACCAAAAAAGAUAUUAGCAAUCAGAUAUGUAGCCAAUUCACUAUAAAUUCAACAUCCCAUCUUGUAAAAAAAAAAAAAAAAACCACAAUAAUUCAGCAUAUAACAUUCAUGAAUUAAAAUUAUAUCUACCAGACAGUCUUACAACUUUUGGACAGGAGGCAGUAUUGAGUAGUGAUAAUAAGCAGGGGUCUUGAAAAUCAAACCACCUAGAUGUAAAUCCUGCUUCCACUUGCAUAGUGAUAAAAGGCAAAUGAUCGAACUUAUCUAAUUAUGUUUCCUUACCUAAAAAACAGACAUUAUAAAAGAAUGUACCUCCCAGGAUUGGUGUACAAAUUAAGUCAAUAUAUACACAUGGUUAUAUACUGUGGUUCCUAUUGUGGUCCAGUGGGUUAAGUAACCAACUAGUGUCCAUGAAGAUUUGCAUUGGAUUUCUGGCCUCCCUCAGUGUGUUAAGGAUCCAGCUUUGCCGCAAGCCGUGGCAUGGGUCACAGAUAGGAUCUGGCAUUGCUGUGGCUGUGGCAUAGGCUGUCAGUUGCAGCUCCGAUUUGGCCCCUAGCCUGGGAACUUCCAUACGCCUCUAUAAAAAAAAAAAAAAAAAAA